UUGUUUCUCCACUGGGUUGCUUGUUAGAGCUAUCAAACACUGGUUUGUAGUGGCAACAGGGAAGACUGUCAUAAUCUUGUUCUGGUCGAGGAACCCUGUCCAUCUUCGGACCAACCCAACUGUGCUAUAAUUGAGAAAUAUGUAUGCAAGCCCCCCUCCAUCAUUAAAAAAACUUACAUCUCCCCUAAAAUAUUUGCUCAGAAAUGUCUACGCUCCGCACACAUUUCAUACCUCCCCCCCUGUAUUAAUAAUGAACGGUCCCUAGAAAUAAUUAUGGUUUAAAUUUGUACUUUCUAAUUCACUUCAUUGUUUUAACUUACAGUAAAAAUGUACUGUAUAUAAGAGAUUUUGGAAAAUAAAUAUGUUUAGAUAAAAAAUGGUUGCUCAAGUGAUUGAUUUAGUAAUACAUAAUAAUUUACAAACUAUUUACAAUUUCAUUUACAAAC